AAAACUGAAUGAAGGCUAUGAAAGAAGUCACAGGAGGAUUUUUGCAGAGCUUCCAUCCAGUUCAGAAACAAAGCAAUUCAAUACAUGUCUUCAAGAUUUCUAAAGGCAAUGACUUAAUUCUAAGUUCCAUGAAAGCAGGCAUUGUGUGAAUUUCUCCUGCAUCUGGAACUGGCCUAGCACACCAAAUGGAGUCUCACUCUGUCUCCCACGCUGGAGUGCCUCUGAAUGCUGUUUUAGCCAUGGUUCUGGAGAGGGUAGCGACAGGAGCUGUCUAGGUGGGAUCCAGAGGAAAGUACGAAUGAGCAGAAGGUACAUGUUCCCACCUGAAGAACUUCCUUGAAGAUGUCUUAUAGUGCAGGUCUGCUGUUUAUCUUGCUUAGGGUUCAUUAAACUUCUUGGAUUUAUCAGAUGCUGGCCAUUUUUAUAUUAUAUGGAUGAGUGUCCAGAUUCAGUUAUAUUCUUUUAACAACUGUUGAAAUUUAUUCUGGCAGAUAGUUAAUUUUAUGUGUCAACUUGACUGGGCCACAGGAUGCUGAGAUACCUGGUUCAACAUUAUUUAUGGGCCUCAUGAGGAAAAUCAAAUAAGAUUAUCUUACAUUACAAAAUUUUCUUGCAUACUUUAUGCAACAGUGGAAACAACACAGGAUUGGAAUUAGAAGACCUGGUUUUAAAUACCAAAUUGUUCCCCAGAAUGAUCUGAUCCUACUGCUUAGCCUAUCUGGAUGUCAGUUUCUACAUCUCUAAAAGGAAGACACACAGAGGAGAAUGCUAUCUGAAGAUGGAGGCAGAGAUUGAAGUGAUGCAUCUACAGGGAUUGCUGGCCGCCACCACAAGCUAGAAGAAGCAAGGGAGGAUUAUUCCCUAGAGCCUUUGGAUGGAGCAAGAAUCCAAGAAGACUCUAAAACCUCCAGUACUCAUGAAGAGAUGAGUUUGCUCAUUAUCAAUCUCAUUGAUCCUUAGCAUCGGAGCUGAGAGGGAGCCAGGAUGUUCAUCACACUGUGUAAAUGGCCUCUGUGAAGAACUUCCUGGGGUAUGGUCCAGCUUCCUGGAAUGGAAAAUUCUUCAAAUCAAAGGCAGAGGGUAAGGAAGAAAAUGAGAACUGAAACUGCUCCAAUCCCAGCUAGGAGAGAGGAAGAACUGUAAAGAAACCCCCCAAAUUACAUUGUAGAAUUAUUUUUCCCUAUGGUAUUAGGUUGAUCCCCCUUUCCUGGCCACCAGCAGCCCCUUUCCACACUUCUAGGAGCACCAGGAUCAAUUACCAUUCAUUGUUAUUUCAUGUGCAUAGACAACAGAACUUGCUGCUGUCAUAAAAGUAAAGGAACAGAUUUCUUAAAUUGCUACUUGAAGGAGCUCUUCUAUAUCAGUGCCAUUAAAUUAAAUUUCUGCUCUGUAUAAUGCAUAAAAA
rnacentral:lncRNA from 1 species